rnacentral:rRNA from 1 species
AAUCAACGCUGGCGGCGUGCCUCAGACAUGCAAGUCGAACGAUUAAGACUCCCUUCGGGGAGUGCAUAAAGUGGCGCACGGGUGAGUAACACGUAAGUAAUCUACCUUUGAGUGGGGAAUAACAACCGGAAACGGUUGCUAAUACCGCAUAAUGCAGCGGCACCGUAAGGUGACAGUUGUUAAAGGAGCAAUCCGCUUGAAGAGGAGCUUGCGGCAGAUUAGCUAGUUGGUAAGGUAAUGGCUUACCAAGGCUACGAUCUGUAUCCGGUCUAAGAGGACGGUCGGACACACUGACACUGAAUAACGGGUCAGACUCCUACGGGAGGCAGCAGUCGGGAAUUUUGGGCAAUGGGCGAAAGCCUGACCCAGCAACGCCGCGUGAAGGAUGAAGUAUUUCGGUAUGUAAACUUCGAAAGAAUGGGAAGAAUAAAUGACGGUACCAUUUAUAAGGUCCGGCUAACUACGUGCCAGCCGCCGCCGUAACAC